GAUGAACGCUGGCGGCGUGCUUAACACAUGCAAGUCGAACGGUGAAGGCGGAGCUUGCUCUGCUGGAUCAGUGGCGAACGGGUGAGUAACACGUGAGCAAUCUGCCCCUGACUCUGGGAUAAGCGCUGGAAACGGCGUCUAAUACUGGAUACGAGCUGCUAAGGCAUCUUCAGCAGCUGGAAAGAACUUCGGUCAGGGAUGAGCUCGCGGCCUAUCAGCUUGUUGGUGAGGUAACGGCUCACCAAGGCGUCGACGGGUAGCCGGCCUGAGAGGGUGACCGGCCACACUGGGACUGAGACACGGCCCAGACUCCUACGGGAGGCAGCAGUGGGGAAUAUUGCACAAUGGGCGAAAGGCUGAUGCAGCAAAGCCGCGUGAGGGACGACGGCCUUCGGGUUGUAAAACUCUUUUAGCAGGGAAGAAGCGAAAGUGACGGUACCUGCAGAAAAAGCGCCGGCUAACUACGUG
rnacentral:rRNA from 1 species